rnacentral:lncRNA from 1 species
AAGCUUUGCACAGUGCUUUUUGUGGCAGGCUGGUAGAGGAGAGAGAUUUGUUUUCCCUUUCAGAACUAAAGCAUGUCACUGCCAAGGACACAGUCUUGAAGCCAACCGGAAUCACUCCCUCGGUCAGAUAAUCUCCAGGACAAUGGCUUAAUAUUAUAUACUCUCUGUUUUGGUCCAAUAAGACACAUAGUCAAGGGGAAUGCCCCUGCAUUCCCGUAUAAGUGAAAACUAAUAGACACAGCCCCCCCGAUGAGGGAGGCUCUCUGGGGGCCCUCUCCCCAGACACUCUCCCGUGGGACACUCUCCCGUGGGACACUCUCCCGUGGGACACCAUCCCGUAAGCGGCGAGGGCCUGGAUGUGUGGGUGCUGGCUGGAGGCGGGGACGACUGCACAGGGGACUCAGGAGAGAAGCACCAGCAGCUGCGGAGACAAGGAAGAGGCGUGAUGAGCUUCGAACAGCAGCCUCAGGACGAGGGGUCACAAGCACAAGUGCGGACUGGGGCCAGGCAGAUAUAGAACCGUGCUGGAAAUCGUGCUUCUCUGGAGGAGUUCCUCAGUCAUCUGAGAGCUGUCUCCAGGCUGUAAACCUUGGGCUUCCCUGAUGGCUCAGCUGGUAAAGAAUCUGCCUGCAACCCAGGAGAUAAAGGAGGUGCAGGUUCAGUCCCUGGGUUGGGAAGAUCCUCUGGAGCAGGAAACGGCAACCCACUGUGGGAUUCUUACCUGAAAAGUCCCAUGGACAGAGGAGCCCGGUGAGCCACAGUCCAAAGGGUCACAAAGAGUCGGACACGACUGAGCGCAAGCACAUAGUCCUCAGUUAGCUCAAAUAAAAUGCUCCCAUUUCUACUAUAGAAUUCUUAUUUAUUGAUUUAUUAAUUAUUUUCAUCAACAAGGCCCAAAAUUCCAACCAAGAUGAAGGUUGCAGUAGUUCCCACAUUGAAGUCAGGCUACGUCGGCAGAGAAGCAGGCCAGCAGCUGGGCAACCAAGACUGCAGAUGCGUGUAGACAGGUUUUUUGGUCCCCGUCUGCCCUGUGGACACCAAGCUCCAGCAUCAGACCUAGAGGACAGCAGCCUUACAGACUCGACUUAACCAGCUUAACCAGUUCCCACAAUUGCAUGUCAAACCCUUGUAAUAAGCCCGCAGUCACUCUGCUUCUCUGGUUGAACACUAACUGAUACCCACCCCCAAAUCCUCCCAAUAGAGUGCUCUUUAGUAUAAGUUAUCUAGAGCAGCAGUCCGCAAAUGUUUUGGCACCAGGGACCAGUUUCACGGAAGACCACAGCCGGCAGGUCCAGGGGGUGGGUGGUGGGUGGUUUUGGGGUGAUUCAAACACAUUACAUUUAUUGCGCACUCUAUUUCUAUUAUUAUUACAUCAGAUCCACCUCAGAUCAUCAGGCAUCUCAGACCCCAGAGGCUGGGGACUUCUG